rnacentral:rRNA from 1 species
UACGUAGGUGGCGAGCGUUAUCCGGAAUUAUUGGGCGUAAAGCGCGUGUAGGCGGCUUUGCAAGUCGGGUGUGAAAGCCCUCGGCUUAACCGAGGAAGUGCGCCCGAAACUGCAGAGCUUGAGUGCCGGAGAGGAUGGCGGAAUUCCCCAAGUAGAGGUGAAAUUCGUAGAUAUGGGGAGGAACACCGGUGGCGAAGGCGGCGACCUGGUCCUUGACUGACGCUGAGGCGCGAAAGCGUGGGGAGCAAACAGG